AYACCCGAUAGGUCGAAAGAGGAAAUUCAUUCGCGUCUCGACUGUCGAAGUUAAACGUUUGCAAGACGGAUAUUGCUUUCGCAUCGUCCCGCUCUUACGUUCAUCGUGUCGAUGUCGAACGCGUGCACUUUUCCUCUAGUAGGACGUCGCGAUCCGUUGGGUGUCUGUCUAAGACUCGAGGUGGAGCCCACGUAAUUUUUAAUUAUGUGGACCCUCGGUGUUCCGACAGACUCGCUCGACGGUAUACUAAUGGCGCGGGGCCGCUACAUAAGUUAGCGUUCGGCCCGUAUCAAGCACGUUCUGUGUUUGACGGCGAUCGGACCUGGUGCCGAUUCUGUCCCAGAACGACUGUUGGUUACGGUGUUCUCGAACAGACCUCGUAUGAAACGCCGAUCGGCGACGCUCUAGAUUUGGGUACUUUCAGGACCCGUCUUGAAACACGGACCAAGGAGUCUAGCAUGUGCGCGAGUCAUUGGGAUAUAACUAAACCUAAAGGCGUAAUGAAAGUAAAGGUUUACCUUGCGUAGACCGAGGGAGGAUAAGCGGUUUGCCCUUAAAAGUGGCCGCUUCGCACUCCCAGAGUGUCUCAUUCUCAUUGCGAGAAGAGGCGCAUCAAGAGCGUACACGCUGGGACCCGAAAGAUGGUGAACUAUGCCUGGUCAGGACGAAGUCAGGGGAAACCCUGAUGGAGGUCCGUAGCGAUUCUGACGUGCAAAUCGAUCGUCGGAUCCUGGGUAUAUGAAY
rnacentral:rRNA from 1 species